rnacentral:piRNA from 1 species
UGGGUGACGGUCAGCAGGGUGAGCAC